CCUACGGGAGGCAGCAGUGGGGAAUAUUGCUCAAUGGGGGAAACCCUGAUGCAGCGACGUCGCGUGAAGGAAGAAGUAUUUCGGUAUGUUAACUUUCAUCUGUAGGGAAGUAAGUGACGGUACCUGACUAAUAAGCCCUGUCUAACUACGUGCCAGCAGCCGCGGUAAUACGUAGGGGGCAAGCGUUAUCCGGAUUUACUGGGUGUAAAGGGAGCGUAGGCGGCGUUGCAAGUCAGAAGUGAAAGCCCGGGGCUCAACUCCGGGACUGCUUUUGAAACUGUAUGGCUGGAUUGCAGGAGAGGCAAGUGGAAUUCCUAGUGUAGCGGUGAAAUGCGUAGAGAUUAGGAAGAACACCAGUGGCGAAGGCGGCUUGCUGAACUGUGAAUGACGCUGAGGCUCGAAAGCGUGGGGAGCAAACAGGAUUAGAUACCCUAGUAGUC
rnacentral:rRNA from 1 species